rnacentral:lncRNA from 1 species
AGAAAAGUAGUUUUCUAAGGUACCUGUAACUACAUGUUAGAAGCUGACUUGGUAAACUGUGGAAGAGGAAAAAUCCCUGCCUUUCUGUAAAUAUUUUUCAAAAUAAAAAUGUUAAACCCUCUUCAGAAAAUUUGGCAGGUGAUUCAGUUAAGGAAAAAAAUAAUCAGUAGGUUAGUUUUAAUGUCGAUGGUAGCACGGGGAAUUUGUGCUGGUGUGUUCCAGGUGCACACAGUUAAAUAGCAGGCAGUUGGGGUGCUGAGCGGUGCUAGUUUACUGGCCUUUAUUUCAGGUGAGGCUGGGGGUUGAGCCUGAGGUCAGGGCUGAAUAUUUAGAAGUACAACUUGAUGUUUAAAAGGCAAGAUUAGAAGAGGGACUCAAAUGAAGGUUUUGCAGUAAAGAAGUGCAGGGGCUAGUUGGGAGUUAUGGGUGUAGUUGUCUACGCUGUGAAAAUAGCCAAGGCUAUUGUGGCUCUUGUAGGCUUUCUUCAGCUCUACCUUUAAAAGAAACUUAAAGUUGCUCAUAAAAGAAAUAGCCAUUUAUCUGUCUGCAGGGAGAAUAAGCACAGAUUGCUGAUUUCUUCUUAGAAAAGCGAGUGUCAGGAAUCAAAGCAGCUGCUAAAUUUGAUCGUAUGCUUUCUUUUCUGUAGACCAGUGCAUACUAACAUCUCCUUUGCCCUGUGUUAACCCCACACAAUGCAAUGUAGAAAACUAGUUGCAGCCUGUCCUUACUGUGCUUUCAGGCAUGUCCAAUACAGUCCAACAGAUCUGCACAUUCAAGCCUGCUCAAAUGCUUGAUUUAUUUCAAAAGCAGUCAUUGAAAGGCCAGAAACCUUUGGAAGGAAAAAAAAAAAAAAAAAGUAGCAUCAUGUCUGUUUUAGUGUGAGUGGGGGAUUGUGAGCACACCUGGCUCUGCUUCCUCACCUGUUCUCAAUCACACUUGGUGAGCUCUGAGUCUUAAAGCCCUGGGAGGGAGCUUGUCCUCUUCCCCUGAAGGGUGGUUGUGCUGCCUGGUCUCCUCUCUGGAUUCUGGACUUGGCUGCCUGGCUGUGUCCCCACGCACCUGAGAGCUCUGCUGCUGAACUGGCUCAUCUGAAGGUUGGUGGGGUAUCCUCAGUGUUCUGGCUUGGAUGCCAAGCUGGUGAGAAAUGGUCAAGAGCCAGUUACUGGCAGUGGUGUGUGGAUCUUACACUGUCAGCCCCAGGGAGCCAGCUUGUUUCUGCCCUUGAGAGAGAUGUGUGGUGCCUCCAUCGUCAGUGCU